rnacentral:pre_miRNA from 1 species
UCUAGAACUCGAGAUAUGGGCUGAACACUGAACAAUAUCUGGGCUGCAGGAUAGAUUCUGACUUCUCUGUUGUUGCUACAAUUUGAACUUGAAAACAGUCCUUUUGAAUCUUAGACUCUUCACGAAAGUUUUAGACCUAUGUCUUAGCUUUCUAUC